rnacentral:rRNA from 1 species
UACGUAGGGAGCGAGCGUUGUCCGGAAUUAUUGGGCGUAAAGAGCGUGUAGGCGGUUUGUCGCGUCUGGCGUGAAAACCUGCAGCUUAACUGUGGGCGUGCGGUCGAUACGGGCAUCACUGGAGUUCGGCAGGGGAGACUGGAAUUCCUGGUGUAGCGGUGAAAUGCGCAGAUAUCAGGAGGAACACCGGUGGCGAAGGCGGGUCUCUGGGCCGAUACUGACGCUGAGGAGCGAAAGCGUGGGGAGCGAACAGG